GGGGCCAUGGUGUUAAUGGUAGCAUGUUCGUCUCCAAAACGAACGGUGGAUGUUCGAAUCAUCCUGGCCCUG
rnacentral:tRNA from 6 species